rfam:Pedobacter sp. PACM 27299, complete genome.
GUGGUUUUAGCUCAGUUGGUUAGAGCAUCGGUUUGUGGUACCGAGGGUCGUGGGUUCGAGCCCCAUAUUCCACC